UACGUAGGGGGCAAGCGUUGUCCGGAUUUACUGGGCGUAAAGAGCGUGUAGGCGGCCAGGUAGGUCUGGUGUGAAAACUCGAGGCUUAACCUCGAGAUGUCAUCGGAAACCAUUUGGCUAGAGUCCGGAAGAGGAGAGUGGAAUUCCUGGUGUAGCGGUGAAAUGCGCAGAUAUCAGGAAGAACACCAAUGGCGAAAGCAGCUCUCUGGGACGGUACUGACGCUGAGACGCGAAAGCGUGGGGAGCGAACAGG
rnacentral:rRNA from 1 species